GAUGAACGCUGACAGAAUACUUAACACAUGCAAGUCGAUGGGGAAGUGGUGCUUGCACCAUGGCAACCAUGGCGGACGGGUGAGUAACGCGUAAGGGACUUACCUGCAGGACUGGGAUAACAGGGGGAAACUCCUGACAAGACCGGAUAAUGUCAUGGAGCUGCAUGGCUUUAUGAUGAAAGGAGACGCCUGCGGAGAGCCUUGCGUCCUAUUAGCUAGUUGGUGAGGUAAUGGCUCACCAAGGCGAAGAUAGGUAGCCGGCCUGAGAGGGUGGGCGGCCACAAGGGGACUGAGAUACGGCCCUUACUCCUACGGGAGGCAGCAGUGGGGAAUAUUGGACAAUGGGGGCAACCCUGAUCCAGCAAUUCUGUGUGCACGAAGAAGGUUUUCGGAUUGUAAAGUGCUUUCAGCAGGGAAGAAGUAAGUGACGGUACCUGCAGAAGAAGCGACGGCUAAAUACGUG
rnacentral:rRNA from 1 species